UUUUAAGUUUUUGCCCUGGCUCAGGAUGAACGCUGGCGGCGUGCUUAACACAUGCAAGUCGAACGAUGAAGCCCAGCUUGCUGGGUGGAUUAGUGGCGAACGGGUGAGUAACACGUGAGUAACCUGCCCCCGACUCUGGGAUAAGCCCGGGAAACUGGGUCUAAUACCGGAUAUUACCUUUGACCGCAUGGUUGUUGGUGGAAAGAUUUAUCGGUGGGGGAUGGACUCGCGGCCUAUCAGCUUGUUGGUGAGGUAAUGGCUCACCAAGGCGACGACGGGUAGCCGGCCUGAGAGGGUGACCGGCCACACUGGGACUGAGACACGGCCCAGACUCCUACGGGAGGCAGCAGUGGGGAAUAUUGCACAAUGGGCGAAAGCCUGAUGCAGCGACGCCGCGUGAGGGAUGACGGCCUUCGGGUUGUAAACCUCUUUCAGUAGGGAAGAAGCGAAAGUGACGGUACCUGCAGAAGAAGCGCCGGCUACCUACGCAG
rnacentral:rRNA from 1 species